rnacentral:rRNA from 1 species
GCUGGCGGCGUGCCUAACACAUGCAAGUCGAACGAGAAAGUCCGCAAGGAUGAGUACAGUGGCGACCGGGUGAGUAACACGUGACUAACCUACCUCUUAGUGGGGAAUAACUCCGGGAAACCGGAGCUAAUACCGCAUAACAUCGCAAGAUCAAAGCCGAAAGGCGCUGGUAGAGGGGGUCGCGGCUGAUUAGCUAGUUGGUAGGGUAACGGCCUACCAAGGCGAAGAUCGGUAUCCGGCCUGAGAGGGCGCACGGACACACUGGAACUGAAACACGGUCCAGACUCCUACGGGAGGCAGCAGUGGGGAAUUUUGCGCAAUGGGGGAAACCCUGACGCAGCAACGCCGCGUGGAGGAUGAAGUCCCUUGGGAUGUAAACUCCUUUCGACCCGGACGAUACUGACGGUACGGGUGGAAGAAGCACCGGCUAACUCUGUGCCAGCAGCCGCGGUAAUACAGAGGGUGCGAGCGUUGUUCGGAAUUAUUGGGCGUAAAGGGC